GUGUCAGCCGCCGCGGUAAUACGUAGGGUGCGAGCGUUAAUCGGAAUUACUGGGCGUAAAGCGUGCGCAGGCGGUUUUGUAAGUCAGAUGUGAAAGCCCCGGGCUCAACCUGGGAACUGCGUUUGAAACUACAAGGCUAGAGUGUAGCAGAGGGGGGUAGAAUUCCACGUGUAGCAGUGAAAUGCGUAGAGAUGUGGAGGAAUACCGAUGGCGAAGGCAGCCCCCUGGGUUAACACUGACGCUCAUGUACGAAAGCGUGGGGAGCAAACAGGAUUAGAAACCCCCGUAGUCC
rnacentral:rRNA from 1 species